rnacentral:rRNA from 1 species
CGCUCCUUGAUUUUAAUUAAUAAGAAGUCGGACCUGCCCAGUGAUAAGUAUUUAACGGCCGCGGUACUCUGACCGUGCAAAGGUAGCAUAAUCAUUUGCCCUAUAAUUGAGGGCUAGUAUGAAUGGUUUGACAAGAACAAUACUGUCUCUUUCAAAANUUUCUAGAAUUUAUUCUUUAGGUGAAGAAACCUAAAUAAAAUUAAAAGACAAGAAGACCCUAUCGAGCUUAAACUCUUUUUAUAAAAUAAAAAAAAUUAAUAAUAUUUUUUGUUAUAAAAAAUUUUGGUUGGGGCGACUAAGGAACAAAAAAAGCUUCUUUAUUUAAUAAAGACAAAUAUGUAUUGAUCCAUAAAANUCUUGAUUAAAAGAAUUAGUUACCGUAGGGAUAACAGCAUAAUCUUUUUUAAGAGUUCUUAUCGAAAAAAAGGUUUGUGACCUCGAUGUUGGACUAAAAUUUCCUAAUAGAUGCAGACGUCUUUAAGGG